GUCGCUUGCAAAGCAUCGCCCGCAGACCGAGGGGAGACAAAGUUGAGGCAGCGCGAGGGGGCUUCCGAGCUCAGCCCUCCGCACUUAAAGGAAAGACCCCCGGAGCUGCAGCCCAGAAGCUGCCGCUGACCUCGCCAUGCGGCUCUCUGACCUGAGACCCUGGGCCGCCCUACUGCUGGCGGACUCGGCCUUACUCUGGCUGCUCCAGGGACCUCUGGAGGCUCUGCUUCCCCGAGGGCUUCCAGGCCUGUGGCUGGAGGGCACCUUGCAACUUGGAGGGCUUUGGUGGCUGCUGAGGCUGGGAGGGCUGCUGGGAUAUGCGCGGACNCCCCCCCCCCCCCCCCCCCCGCUCCCCGCCCCGUCUGGUGAUCCCUCUGUUUUCCUGAGGGUUCUGGUCUCAGGAACCUUGAAUGUGCCCCCAGCAGAGUGGCUUCAGUCCCUUGGUGCUGCUGCUGCUGGGGUCCGGGGCUGCAGGGCUCAGCUGGGAAGUGUGGGCUGUGCAAACUGUGCAGUUUGCUGGAUUAGGAGCAAGAUGUCUGCUUGUAUAAGGAGGCUCUCAAAUGAUGCUGGCACCUGUGGUGGCCAGGAGACCUGGAACAGGCCCUCUGCCUGCUCUUAAGGAGGAUGCUGCACUUGACAAUGAAGGUGCUGUUGCUGAGCUGUGGGCUGCAGCAGGUCCUGGCUGGGACGUCACCCAGGGCGGGCUGCUGUCCUUUCUGCUCUACCAGGAGAACCUGGGCUCCUACAAGCAACAUUAUUUACAGUAGCAAAGAUAUGGACGCAGCCUAAGUAUCUGUCAGUAGAACAGAUAAAGAAGAUACCACAGUGGAAUGUUACUCAGCCAUGAAAAAGAAUGAAAUUCUUCCAUUUACUACAACAUGGAUGGACUCAGUGGGUAUUAUGCUAAGUGAAAUAAGUCAGAGGAAGACGAAUACUCUAUGAUUUCACUUGUUGGUGGAAUUUAAGAAACAAAUGAACAGAACAAAACAGAAACUGACCCAAGAUACAGAGGACAAAGAGUGCAACCGGAGGUGACAGUGCAUCCGGAGAGGACCCCGUCCCUGCAGCUCCGCAACCUGCUGCUUUGCUCUGUGACAGGGUUCUACCCAGGGGCCAUCGAGAUCAGGUGGUUCCGGAACGGGCAGGAGCAGAGAGAGGGGGUCCUGGCCACUGGCCUCGUCAGGAAUGGAGACUGGACCUUUCAGACAGUGGUGAUGCUGGAAAUGACUCCUGAGCUUGGGGACGUCUACACCAGCCUGCUGAGCCCCGUUUCUGUGGAGUGGAAAUAUGUUGAAAUCAGAGAUGUGGUUUUGGAUGUUUGGGAAGCAAAGAAGCAUAAAAUGGAGCAGAAGGUAAAGCCAGCUUUUGCCUGAAGAUGGAGUUCAGUCUUUUUACAUGUUUUAGCAGAACCUGCACAGAUCAGAAGCCUGAAACUAUCUUUAUCUUAUGUGGGAAUUGACACCCUUUGUGGUCAGGAAAGCUGGUCUUCUCACACCAAGGUCAAGUGUGGCUGUAGGAGGCGGAGCCUGCAGGUGCAGCAGCGUGUGGAGGCUACUUCUGACGCCCCUCUUCUCCCGAGGAAGAGAGUGUCCUAUCCCAGUCGGCGUUCCCAUCUUCCCCCCUGGACAACCUCAGACUUUUAAUGGCUUCGAGGUUUAGACCACACGUGCAAGUGUGAGAUAUUUCUCUUCUCAAUUUUUUUUUUUUUGUGGUGUAUGAUAGGAAGUCAUUAUUUUAAUUCUUGGAGAUGACUUUGUUUACAGUAUUAAAUUACACAUGAGGGAAAUGAGAAGGGUUGACGACAAAGGUCGUGUGAAAAGAUUGAGAGGUGGGUUUAACAGUUCAAAUUAGAUUGAAAGCUGUUAAUAGGUGGCCUUGAAGGUCGGAGACACCUCAAGCCUGGUGGAGAGAAACAAGGGGACAGAAGAGAUAGAGGGGCUACUUCAAGAGUUCCAAAUAUUAUUCUGACUAAUAAUUCAAUACAAAUUUUAUUUUACUGCUGGGUUUAUAAAGCCGAUCACAGAUCUGUCAGACCACGUAAGAAGCAGGAAGAGGAGAAAACAAGAUCCCUUUUAUUGUAGUCUAGAUCCUUGGGUGACAUUUUAUUCCUUCCACCUUCACAGGUAUAAAUGUAGAUAUAGAUAUAAAUGGAAAAAUGGUCAGAGGCUUGAGAUCAUAGUAAACAUGCCAAUUUGUCACUAAGCUUUGUUUUUAAUUAAUUUUUUCCUAUCAGUUUUAUUGUGUUAUGAUUGACAUACAACAUUGGAGAAGUUUAAGAUAUAAAGCAUGGGGAGUUCCCUUGAGGUGCAGCGGGUUAAGGAUCCGGUGUUGUCACUGAAAUGGCUCGGGUCGCUAAUGUGGUGCAGACUGAAUCUCUGGCCCAGGAACUGCCUCGGGUGCAGCGGAAAAAAAAAAAAAAAAAAAAAAAAAGAUAUACAGCAUAAUUAUUUAAUUUACAUACAUCAUUAAAUGAUUAUUACAAGUUUAGUGAACAUCUGUCAUCUCAGAUAGAUACAAAAUUAAAGAAAUAGAAAAAAAUAUUUUUUCCUUGUGAUGAGAACUCUUAGGAUUUAAUUGCUUAACAACUUUUCUAUAUAACAUACAACCGUGUUAAUUAUAUUUAUCAUGUCACACAUCAUCUCUUUAGUACUUAUUUCUUAUAACUGGGAGUUUGUACCUGUGGUUUGCCUCCUACCUGCUGAUGGUCAUAGAUUUAUAAAUAGAUUCUUAAUUAAACUAUCUUCAAAGUAA
rnacentral:lncRNA from 1 species